rnacentral:rRNA from 1 species
UUUGGGCCUCUCGCGUCAAGAUUAGCCCAGGUGGGAUUAGCUAGUUGGUGAGGUAAAGGCUCACCAAGGCGACGAUCCCUAGCUGGUCUGAGAGGAUGAUCAGCCACACUGGAACUGAGACACGGUCCAGACUCCUACGGGAGGCAGCAGUGGGGAAUAUUGCACAAUGGGCGCAAGCCUGAUGCAGCCAUGCCGCGUGUGUGAAGAAGGCCUUCGGGUUGUAAAGCACUUUCAGUCGUGAGGAAGGUAGU